rnacentral:tRNA from 1 species
AACAUUAUGCCAGAUGAAUUGGGUUACCUUGAUGAGGUAAAAUAUGGAUUAGUUUUCUAAUGUUU